ACAAGUCGAGCAGGGACGAAAGUCGGUCUUAGUGAUCCGGUGGUUCUGUAUGGAAGGGCCAUCGCUCAACGGAUAAAAGGUACUCCGGGGAUAACAGGCUGAUACCGCCCAAGAGUUCACAUCGACGGCGGUGUUUGGCACCUCGAUGUCGGCUCAUCACAUCCUGGGGGCGGAGCAGUUCCCAAGGGUAUGGCUGUUCGCCAUUUAAAGUGGUACGCGAGCUGGGUUUAGAACGUCGUGAGACAGUUCGGUCCCUAUCUGCCGUGGGCGUUGGAAACUUGAGGGGAGCUGCUCCUAGUACGAGAGGACCGGAGUGGACGUACCUCUGGUGUUCCGGUUGUCACGCCAGUGGCAUUGCCGGGUAGCUACGUACGGACGGGAUAACCGCUGAAAGCAUCUAAGCGGGAAGCCCCCCCCAAGAUUAGGUUUCCCCGGGGACUUGAUCCCCCUGAAGGGCCCUCGAAGACGACGAGGUUGAUAGGCUGGGUGUGGAAGUUCAGUAAUGGAUGAAGCUAACCAGUACUAAUUGCCCGUGAGGCUUGACCAU
rnacentral:rRNA from 1 species